UUAAUGAGCAAUAUAAGGAACCACAUUCCCUGCAACAGCCUAGGGUUUGACAUAAGAUUUUCUGGAGAAAACAAUGGGGAAUAUGAUUUCCUAUUCAGCUUGUACCUGCCCAGUUACUCACAGGUGUAAAAGCAGGGGUAAUUAAAAUGUUUGUUUUCUUUGAGGCUGGAUUAAAAAAAGGUCUGAAUGGCAUUUUGCAGCAGGUUUAUAAAAUGAACUGUGGAGUGCAAAAGCAUUGUUAAGAGCAAAGGGGUAUAUUAAGACAGCCCGGGCCCCAUCGGAAGAUUUAUGUCAGUUCAUUGCAGUUUUCAGAUAUAUGUAACUUAUAUCACUCUGUAGCUGAAGGAGGGAAACAGGUGGCUCCUAACCCCUGCAACGAGGCUUUGAGGACAUAAAUAGGGCACCUAUCUCUGUCCACUAGUGAUAUUUUAGGAUGAAGUGCCUCUGAAUGGUGAGGAGGUGUUGCAAGCCAAGGGGAGACCAGCAAGCAACCUGUAGGAAACAGUAAAUAACGUGGGGUAUGUGAGAAGCUGUCUGCCUCAGCAGCUGCUUCUUCCAGGGGAAGUUCAGAAAUGUUUUGUGCUAAGCCCUCUACGUUUGCUCAGGAUGGACCAAGUUAAAGGAUGCUACUGCACAGCACAAUAUACCAUGGAAAUAUUGACAGGAUUGCUACCAGAGCACUGAGACCAAACGCCAUGGGAGGAAACCGCGACCCUGAGCUCACCCUGGAGGCCCAGCCAAAAUACCUGGGCUGGGUGUCAGCGGGCUGGCCCUAUAGCAGGUCCCCUUCCUGGGGGACCAAGCUGCUGGGGGGGUGUGUGGAAACCAGGAGCUGUAACCCCCGGGAGCCCUCAGCACCUUGCAGGCAUGUUAAUGGAAAACCAAGCAGGUUUCCACUCAGGUGUGCCUGGGCUCUGCCAGAAUUUUGUUGCGAUAGCACGUUUUCAGAAAAACUUUCAUUGAAAUUUAAAGUCAAAUAAAUGGAAAUUUUCCACCUAUAGCACCAA